CCUGCCUGGGCCUGCCCUAGUGAAGCUUCCUUCAGCUACAGCUGUGUCAGAUAAAAUGGCAGCAGCUGCUGGAGAAGACCAUAACAUAGAUGAAGAGCAGUGUGGUUGCAUUUGGUGUGUCCUGAUAUUAGGCCUAUGUUGUACGCAUGUGAGACUGCUAUAAUAGUUUCCCUUGAAGUGUGUCUGGUAGAUGUGAUCUUGCUGUAAGAUGGGAUCAAGCUGGAGAAGAACUUUUUGUGGAGCACUGCCAGUAUGCAAGAGAGAAUUCUGCUAGAGCUGAUGAAGACCUCUAAAAAUGAGUCCCUUUUGAGUGUUUUAAUGACAGUGUUGGAAAAUCCUUGUUGAUUCUUCCAGAUGGAUGUUUGCAGUAUAUUUUGAAGAAUUUUGUGGUGAAAAUGCUCCACUGAUGAUCACCAUUUUUUGCCAUACUGAGCUAGAAAUAUGAAAGCUUAAUUCCUGUCAGCGAAGACAGUGCUCGCAAGGUUAUGCAAGCCUGCAAAACAGAGGAAUAGAAAGGUUUCCAGAAAUUAUUUACUCAAAACUCAGCCUCUACAAGAGCAACGCCUCAAACCCGCCCUCACCAGAAGCUGCUAUUAAGUGGAUCUCCAUAGCAGCAGUAUCCAGCUGCUCUAUGCUUGUGCAGUCUGGGGAGUACUAAGCUUCGCAAGAAAAUGAAGCGUGUCCAGUUCAGACAGAACCCUCAGAGAUUUUUCCUUGCUAGGUUUUUAUCUGAGCAAACGUGAACUGUGACAUUUUGAAGGCUUGUAACUCACCCAGACUUUGGCAGUCUCAGCAGGAUAGGAAAAGUUUUGUUUCGUUUUAGUUUUCUAGUG